UUUGCAAGGCCCGUCCUUUCCAGAAUAAUCCUUUCACAGAAAAGUUGGUGAGGCGAUGAAAUUACCUAGUGUUGACGCUUUUCAACCAUCAUGCUGAACUCUGGGUUUGGCUUUCAGAAACAUUCACCCUGUGGUUACAAGAACAAAGAGAUGCUCUGGAGGUGUUCACGGAUGUCCCUUCCAGGGGCCUCUCCCCGACCCGCGGCGUCAGAGCCUGCGGUGGUGGUCGUCCAGGGCAGCCGUGAGACACCAGCCUGGCCCGGGGCCUGGCUCAUUCCAGCCUGACUUGCUGCCACAGCGUCUCAGCAACCCCUCCCCUCCCCUUAUGGGCACCUGCUUCCGGGUACCUGCAGAUGCUUACUGUGUAUAUGUAAUAUUUUGUGCAGGCAUAUGAGGUAUUUGUGUAGUACCCUCACCUGGAUGGUGCGGACCAUCUCCCCCCGCCGGGGCUGCCUCUUUCAGGGAAAGUGACCUUGGAUGACAUGAUAUUCUUUCUUUCAGAAGGUGGAGGAGGGCUCGGGCUGCCAGGCCAGCACACACACCUGCCCUCCUCGUGGCAGGGCCACUGGAAGGUCUGUUCGUGCCGACAAGCCCUAUAGUCAGCACCCCGUGGGCACAUGUGGGCCGCGUGCCGGCCCGUGUGCCCUGAGGGGAGGGAGCCAGCUGGAGAAGGCUACACGCUGUACCACCGGCACUGCGUGAUGUGGGGGACAGCACAUGUAGUGUGACGGCGCGAAGACACGCAGGCUACAGUUCCUCUGCUGACGUGACUCGAGACGUGUGCGUCACUAGCCUGUCGUCAGGGAGCUUGCUGUGUGGGACCUGAGUAUUUUGAAAUGUACUGAGUUGCGACCCAAGGCUCAGCAGACGAGAGAACUUUAGACUUGGAGUCUACGACCCCAAGUGACCCCAAUGUGACAGAAGGAAAGGGGACUAUGGGCCGACGUGGCAAGGUGCUGCCGCGGCCAGGCAGUGCCACACAAGGACUGCAGGACGCCGCAGAACGCUAAAGGAGCUCCAAGAAAAAAAACGCACAUGCACUGGUUACAGUCUCUACCUGAUGAGAAUGUCCCUCCAAGCCAUCCAAAAGCAAAAGGAGGACCAGGAGCUCAUCAUGACAGUUCUCAAACACAAGACUAGAAGAACCAAGAAAAGCAAAAAGGGGGAAAUGUGGGGGAUAAGCUUAGGAAUCCCCCGGGCUUACACCAAUGGGUUAACAAGGCACAGAGAAGUACGAAGCUAUAGGAUGCUCACCCCCAAGUUUGGGUAAACAAGACAAGGCAACCGAGAAUAGGGGGGUAUAGAGGCCCCCGAUGCAUAGGUAUAUGAAAUAAACAAGAUUAGGCAUUCAGGGCAGAAGCACCCCCAAUUUAGUACUGUAGCAGCUUUCACGGGAGAAUAGGACCAAGCUGGGUAAAUUGGCGAACUGGACUAUGGACCCCUGCACUGCAGGCGUAGCGGCCCAGAGCGGAGAUGGUUAACGAAAGCAAAGGUGCCUUGUCAACCCUGAGGUCACGUGUCCUCCCUGCCUCAUCCCCGAGGCUGAGAUAAACAGAGGUGCUGCCUCAGGUCCGCUGUAAACAACCUUCCUCCCCACUGCCCGGCGCCCGGAUUUUGUUUUGUAUUAACCCAAACCCCUAACCCCGAGGAUCCUCAAGACCCCCUUUCCCUCACGUCCACAAGUUAAUGUUCACAGAUUCCUCGUCUCUUUGUGCACGUCCAUCGCCGUGUUUGUAAGCCUUCUGAUCCUGAUACAAACGGGGCAAGGGCCCUUACUCAGGUCUUGUUUUUUCCCGGACAUUAGCCAUCUCUCACUUUAAUCCUGUGUCCUGCUCUCUU